GAUGGACGCUGGCGGCGUGCCUAAUACAUGCAAGUCGAGCGAACAGAUGAGGCGCUUGCUCCUCUGACGUUAGCGGCGGACGGGUGAGUAACACGUGGAUAACCUACCUAUAAGACUGGGAUCACUUCGGGAAACCGGCGAUAAUACCGGAUAAUAUAUUGAACCGCAUGGUUCAAUAGUGAAAGACGGUUUUGCUGUCACUUAUAGAUGGAUCCGCGCCGCAUUAGCUAGUUGGUAAGGUAACGGCUUACCAAGGCAACGAUGCGUAGCCGACCUGAGGGGGGGAUCGGCCACACUGGAACUGAGACACGGUCCAGGCGCCUACGAGAGGCAGCAGUAGGGAAUCUUCCGCAAUGGGCGAAAGCCUGGCGGAGCAACGCCGCGUGAGUGAUGAAGGUCUUCGGAUCGUAAAACUCUGUUAUUAGGGAAGAACAAAUGUGUAAGUAACUAUGCACGUCUUGACGGUACCGAAUCAGAAAGCCACGGCUAACUACGUG
rnacentral:rRNA from 1 species